rnacentral:rRNA from 1 species
GGACCCGCACAAGCAGUGGAGCAUGUGGUUUAAUUCGAUGCAACGCGAAGAACCUUACCUAGACUUGACAUGUAGUGGACAGUAUCAGAGAUGAUACCUUCCCUCGGGACCGCUACACAGGUGCUGCAUGGCUGUCGUCAGCUCGUGUCGUGAGGUGUUGGGUUAAGUCCCGCAACGAGCGCAACCCUUGUCGUUAGUUGCCAACACGUAAUGGUGGGAACUCUAACGAGACUGCCUGGGUUAACCAGGAGGAAGGUGAGGAUGACGUCAAGUCCGCAUGGCCCUUAUGUCUAGGGCUACACACGUGCUACAAUGGUCAGUACAAAAGGCAGCGAAGCCGCAAGGUGUAGCAAAUCCAAAAAACUGACCCAGUUCGGAUUGAAGUCUGCAACUCGACUUCAUGAAGUCGGAAUCGCUAGUAA